AGUGGGGUGGCUGAGGUGUUAAGGUGGUAGGCUGUAAAUCUAUUUAGGGGCAGAUACGCUCCCUCACUA
rnacentral:tRNA from 1 species